AAGUCGUAACAAGGUUUCCGUAGGUGAACCUGCGGAAGGAUCAUCU
rnacentral:rRNA from 1 species